CCUGCUGAUGUCCCAGAGCAGAAAUAGCCUGUUUCAUCAUCGGCUCUGGACAACCACAGCCUGCAUUCCUCGAGUAAGGAGCUAUACUGUGCCAUGCUUUUGGAGCAAGAUAAUUUGCCAGCCACAGGCUGGGGAAGGCUGAUCUUUUCAAGGAGAGAGGUGCAGAAGGAUGUGAAAUAAUCAGGGAAGAUUCGAGGCUGGCAGUAUCUGGUGGGCAGAGACAAGAAGCUACACCGCUCAGCCACCUCGAAGGGGGCAACUCACCUGACGUGUGCUCUGCCAGGUUGGCUGUUUUGCAUCUGAUGUUCUUCAACUGAGAAUUUCAACUGAGCACGCGCUUGUUGGAUCACAAUCUCAUGAGACUACUUCGGCUAUGGUGGCAGGAGAUCUGCAGUGAUUGGCAGCCUUAGGACUUUGUGCCGAGGAAUUGGUGAGAAGCUGCGUGCCUCUUUGCUACUGAACACUACACAGCUAUGGGAAGAGACAGUUGUAGGGGGAAGCAAAAGAAGGUGAGGAACCUAUCACUCUGGGACAUAGAAGAAGGAAGAUAGUUCAUGUGUGGGGUAGGUGUAUGCAAGGUAGGUAUAAACCUUCUGCUCAGUUUUCCUACAAGCAUAAAACUAGUUCAUGUGUGGGAUAGGUGUAUGCA